rnacentral:rRNA from 1 species
CCUACGGGAGGCAGCAGUAGGGAAUAUUGGGCAAUGGAGGCAACUCUGACCCAGCCAUGCCGCGUGCAGGAAGAAGGCGUUAUGCGUUGUAAACUGCUUUUAUAUAGGAAGAAAUAGACCUUGCGAGGUAAGUUGACGGUACUAUAUGAAUAAGCACCGGCUAACUCCGUGCCAGCAGCCGCGGUAAUACGGAGGGUGCAAGCGUUGUCCGGAUUUAUUGGGUUUAAAGGGUGCGUAGGCGGUUUAUUAAGUCAGUGGUGAAAGACGGUCGCUCAACGAUUGCAGUGCCAUUGAUACUGGUAGACUUGAGUGGGAUUGAGGUAGCUGGAAUGGAUAGUGUAGCGGUGAAAUGCAUAGAUAUUAUCCAGAACACCAAUUGCGUAGGCAAGUUACUAAGUCUCAACUGGCGCUGAGGCACGAAAGUGUGGGUAUCAAGCAGGAUUAGAUACCCUGGUAGUCCACACUGUAAACGAUGAUAACUAACUGUUGGCUUUCGAGUUCAGUGGUACAGAGAAAUCGUUAAGUUAUCCACCUGGGGAGUACGCCGGCAACGGUGAAACUCAAAUGAGUAGAGNGNGAGAGNGCGAGGACGACGACGAGGGAGGAG